AGGAAAACAUCAACUUUGCACAAAGAAAAUUAUCAUAAGUUUUCUGUAAAAUACUCACAGCCACCUUUGGAUACAACGUCCCUUUUUCAACCAACAAAAUAAUAUUUACAUCUUACACGUUUUUCUUCUGCUAUUUCCUGAUUUCCACUUAUUAUGAUGAAAUAAGAAGCAGAUUGAGUAAAAUGGAAUAUCAAAACGGCAGCAAAUGGUAAUGUUGUUUAAGCAAUGUAGCCGUCAUACCUUGCUUUUUAUUUCUUGGACUGCUUUGAAAAUCCCAAUAAAAAAAAAUGAAAAAGGCCGCUCAUACAGUAAAAGGUGUCUAAUCAGUCUAUAACACUACAUUAUCACUGUGAAUUACAGCACGGUAUUUAACGUUUUACUCGUAUUGCUGCCAACAUGGUGUAAUGGCAAGUGGCCACUGUUUAAGAUAUUAAUAUUGCUGGUAUUUUGAAAAACAGAUUUGCUUACAAAAGUGAGUGCAUUUUUUGUACAAUUCAGAUUUAUUUGGAGGUGUAUACAGUGCAAUGAGAUUGGUACAUGUGUGUCUCCCCCAGACCUGUUACAGUAAUAAAAUAGCAAGAACACAGUACUUGAUAAAUUUAAUACAACAUCUGACGACACACACAAGCAACACUCAUGCAGUUGUCAUCAGAAAGGAUUUGUGCUUUACAGCCCCUACAAAAAGCCUUUGUGUUCAUAGUUUAUGGCUAUUUCAAUUUUACCUGUUGUUGGAUUUCACUGUUUCUAUGUGCUUCUGAAUAUUAACUUCUGAUUUACUUGCCUCUCUGUACUUUUGAUCUCAUCCCUGUUAUGUAUCUUUACAAUUAACAAAGUAUAAUACAAUAUUUUUCUUUAGGCUCUGGUUCAACCUCUGGUUUAGUCAUGGAUUAAACUUAAAUGCACUCUAAUACUGUUGUGAAUGAUUAUAUUGUUAAUGUUUUUCUCAGAUUUAGAGAGAAUUUUAUUGGAGCACUAGGGGCUUAUUAUGCAUUCAUUUUUUAUAUUAAUUUUUAGUUAUGCUUUCCUGUAGAUAGAAAAUAUUUUCAACUUCUGUGUUGCCAUUUUGUUGUUCUGUGGGCUAAGCAGUUUUCCAAAAAUGUGUCUAUGGAAAACCAGCUUGGAAGUGUGCUGUUCACGAUGUC